rnacentral:rRNA from 1 species
GUAGGGAAUAUUGGGCAAUGGAUGCAAGUCUGACCCAGCCAUCCCGCGUGCCGGAAGAAGGCCCUCAGGGUUGUAAACGGCUUUUGACGGUGAAGAAUCGACAGGAUGCGUCCUGUUUUGACGGUAGCCGUUGAAUAAGCACCGGCUAACUCCGUGCCAGCAGCCGCGGUAAUACGGAGGGUGCGAGCGUUGUCCGGAUUUAUUGGGUUUAAAGGGUGCGUAGGCUGGAAGGUCAGUCAGCGGUGAAAAGCUGUGGCUUAACGAUAGUCUUGCCGCAGAUACUUCCUUUCUUGGAUGAGGAGGAGGCCACUGGAACGGAUGGUGUAGCGGUGAAAUGCAUAGAUAUCAUCCAGAACACCGAUUGCGAAGGCAGGUGGCUGUACCUUAAUCGACGCUGAUGCACGAAAGCAUGGGGAGCAAACAGGAUUAGAAACCCCGGUAGUCC